rnacentral:rRNA from 1 species
UACGUAGGGGGCAAGCGUUGUCCGGAAUCAUUGGGCGUAAAGAGCGUGUAGGCGGCCUCGUAAGUCUGCUGUGAAAGUCCAGGGCUCAACCCUGGGAUGUUAGUGGAUACUGUGAGGCUCGAGUCCGGAAGAGGAGUGUGGAAUUCCUGGUGUAGCGGUGAAAUGCGUAGAUAUCGGGAGGAACACCAGUGGCGAAGGCGGCUUCCUGGCCUGUUCUUGACGCUGAGGCGCGAAAGCUAGGGGAGCAAACGGG